ACACGCGCGCAGCCGCACCGCUCGCACACCCGAGCGCGAGCCAGAUCGAUCUCACCCCCUAGUCGACCUCGUGCUCCCCUAGGACUCCCUAGACGCGUAAGGAUUUGCCCCGCACCACCAAAGCCUCUUUCCGAUCCUUUCCGUCGUCUGCACGCCUCUGUUGGGCGAAUUGGAUCUCACCGAGGAGCUUCAGCCGCCGCCGUCAUUGACCGUCCGAAUCCACCGCCUGCACCAGGACGCCGCCUCCACCGACGCCCGACUUCGCUGGAGCAUGCCAGAGUUCAGGAGCUCGCCACCGCCGCUCGAGGGAGCCCCGUCGCCGUUGAACGCCACCACCACCUCCACCAUUCACCGCCGCAUCCUCCUGUCACUUCCCCCUCGCUGGAGAGUCACCGGAGGAGCACCACCACCGAUGCCGACCGCCGCCGCCAUUUUCCUCUGUACACGAUUGUCCAGAGUGCGACGCGAGCUAUUGUCAGGAGUGUGACUUUUUGAACAAGA